rnacentral:tRNA from 1 species
GCCCUCUUGGCGCAGUGGAAAGCGCACUGGACUUCUAAUCCAGAGGUCAUGGGUUCGAGUCCCAUUGAGGGUA